GCCCCCGUAGUCUAACCUGGACAGAACGCGAGCUUGCGGAGCUUGAUAUCUGGGUUCAAAUCCCGGCGGGGGCG
rnacentral:tRNA from 4 species